rnacentral:rRNA from 1 species
ACUCCUACGGGAGGCAGCAGUGGGGAAUAUUGCACAAUGGGCGCAAGCCUGAUGCAGCCAUGCCGCGUGUAUGAAGAAGGCCUUCGGGUUGUAAAGUACUUUCAGCAGUGAGGAAGGUGGGAUAUGUUAAUAGCAUAUUCAUUUGAUCGUAUGCUGCAGAAGAAGCACCGGCUAACUCCGUGCCAGCAGCCGCGGUAAUACGGAGGGUGCGAGCGUUAAUCGGAAUUACUGGGCGUAAAGCGCAUGCAGGUGGUUUGUUAAGUCAGAUGUGAAAGCCCGGGCUCAAGCC